AUCCAUCUGACAAGUCCUAAAUAGGACGAAACACGCGUCAAACUGGAU
rnacentral:hammerhead_ribozyme from 1 species